AUUGAACGCUGGCGGCAGGCCUAACACAUGCCAGUCGAGCGGAUGAAGGGAGCUUGCUCCUGGAUUCAGCGGCGGACGGGUGAGUAAUGCCUAGGAAUCUGCCUGGUAGUGGGGGAUAACGUCCGGAAACGGGCGCUAAUACCGCAUACGUCCUGAGGGAGAAAGUGGGGGAUCUUCGGACCUCACGCUAUCAGAUGAGCCUAGGUCGGAUUAGCUAGUUGGUGGGGUAAAGGCCUACCAAGGCGACGAUCCGUAACUGGUCUGAGAGGAUGAUCAGUCACACUGGAACUGAGACACGGUCCAGACUCCUACGGGAGGCAGCAGUGGGGAAUAUUGGACAAUGGGCGAAAGCCUGAUCCAGCCAUGCCGCGUGUGUGAAGAAGGUCUUCGGAUUGUAAAGCACUUUAAGUUGGGAGGAGGGGCAGUAAGUUAAUACCUUGCUGUUUUGACGUUACCAACAGAAUAAGCACCGGCUAACUUCGUG
rnacentral:rRNA from 1 species